UACGUAUGGAGCAAGCGUUAUCCGGAUUUACUGGGUGUAAAGGGAGCGUAGGCGGCGGCCUAAGUCUGAUGUGAAAACCCGAGGCUCAACCACGGGAUUGCAUUGGAAACUGGGCUGCUAGAGUGUCGGAGAGGCAAGUGGAAUUCCCAGUGUAGCGGUGAAAUGCAUAGAUAUUGGGAGGAACACCAGUGGCGAAGGCGGCUUGCUGGACGAUUACUGACGCUGAGACUCGAAAGCGUGGGGAG
rnacentral:rRNA from 1 species